GCUGGAAGCUGUUAUCCUCAGCAAACUAAUGCAGGAACAGAAAACCAUUCAAGGAAGGGUUGCUCUACAGCAUCCGCAAAACCACCCUGACUCUGAAACAUGAGCAUCAGACAUUGUUUCUGAGCUGGGGUAUAUUGCUUGGAGGGGAUCUGGGUGCACAAUUCCCCAGGGGGCUUCAUGUCUCCGUCCCCUUCCGGGCAGGUCCCACACACACACACACACACACACAAAGAGAGAAAAAAGAAAAGAAAAAAGGAUGAGCAGGAUAAAAACAGCUUGUGUCAGUCCCCAA
rnacentral:lncRNA from 1 species